CGAAAAGCUCCCGUGAUGUCUGGUGACAGGUUCAUUUGAGGUCCAAACGAUGGAACGCCACUCAGAGAUCCUUGGAAAUUCUGGCUUGUCAAUACUCCAUAAAUGUGCCCAGUGCCUAAGUGGAUCAAUGAAGGCGAUGGAUGGAGAUCACUCUGUGUAAUGAGGACUAGACGAGAUGGAUUUCCUGUCAGCAGUUACACGUAGAAAAGAGGCUGAUAGCUCGUCCUUAUCUGGAGUGUAUUAGGUCAUCCAAGAGAACUCCGGUAAAGAUUUUCCACAGAGCAUUUGCAGUCACCUUCCUCUCAGAUCGGUGGGAUUCUUAGAGAAAUUGGCACACCCUUCCUAAGAAUCGCAAUAUCCAUCAGUAUUUACCUUGGGGAGAAAGUCUGGAACGAACGCGUUAUGGCAGCCCUACUCCCCUCAUUGUUGAA